UCCGCCCGCGCCCAUUGGCCGGCUGCCUCCGCGCGGGGCAGGCUGGUAGACGGAGUCCGUUAGACGGCCCGAACGAGGCGGGCGGCCAUGUUGGGUGAGGGCAGCUGGGGGCGGGGCUAAUCCGAGGCCGGGAUGGAGAGAAGCCCCGCCUCGCGGUGGAGUGACGUCAUCGCCAGAUGGGGACGUCACCACGCGGUGAGUUGCUGUCCAGCUUCCCCAGCAUUGGCUCCAGCUGUGUGUGCUGAUUCCAGCCAGGCCUUGUGUCACAGCUCCCCAGGAUCAGUGCUACGCCAUAGCUUCUAAACAGCCCCAGGAGGAGACACUUCAGCCUGCCAGACCCCCAGGGGGAGCCACAGAGCCUCACCAUCUGGGUCUACACUCAAAAGUAAGGUUGACCCAGCUCCGUGGCUCAAGGGUAUGAGAAAUCCACACCCCUGCUGGGCACAGGUAAGCCGUCCUAACCCCCAGUGCAGACAGCGCUAGGUCCACGGGAGAAUUCGUCCAUCCACCUAGCUACCACCUCUCGGGGAGAGGGAUUGCGCAGAGUCCCCUGCUGCUGUAGUGAGGGGCUACACUGCAGCGGUGAAGACAUAGCCUGAGCCUCUGGGCUCCCUCCCUCCUGCGAGCUCUGCCCAGCGAGUGCCGCUGAGCCAGACUCCUGGGAGAUCUUGUGCGCACUGCAGGGAUUCAUGCACCCAGCAUAGAUUUACAGGGCUACCGAGUGGCAUCCAGCCUAGGAAGUCCUUAGCUUAACACAGAGAGCUGAGGUUCAAGCAGAGCCCAUUCUGGCCCCGCUGAGCUGUAGGGAAUGUGUUCAGGAUCUGUGUGUCUCUCUGACUUCCUCAGUCGUUCCCAAGUGAGAGCCCCAAGCUUUCUUCCAGACCCAGAAUCCCACACUUAGUCUCAGUCCCAGUCCUCUGUUCUCCAGUUGGGGUCUGUGCCCAGCUUCCCUGCUCCCAGUGUCAUUCCAGGACUCAUAGAAUCAUAGAAUAUCAGGGUUGGAAGGGACCUCAGGAGGUCAUCUAGUCCAACCCCCUGCUCAAAGCGGGACCAACACCAAUUAAAUCAUCCCAGCCAAGGGUUUAUCAAGCCAGGCCUUGAAAACCUCUAAGGAUGGAGAUUCCACCACCUCCCUCGGUAACCCAUUCCAGUGCUUCACCACCCUCCUAAUGAAAUAAUGUUUCCUAAUAUCCAACCUAGACCUCCCCCACUGCAACUGGAGACCAUUGCUCCUUGUUCUGUCAUCUGGUACCACUGAGAACAGCUGCACUCCAUCCUCUUUGGAACCCACCUUCAGGUAGUU
rnacentral:lncRNA from 1 species